GACUUACCUGUAAGUUAUACUUGGAUUUAAAUGCAAGCAGCAUGAAUGAGAAUCCUACGUUUUAAUGUCAUUCUGUAGACAAGAAUCACCAGACGUGCUCUUGUAUGCACCAUUUAUUUUGCAGGUGGAGUUAGACGGUUGGGUGCGCCUGUGGGAGAAACCUGAUGGCAUCCCAUCUGCUGACAUUCACUGGCUUAAGGAGGACACCACAAGAGGAAUGUUCACCGCUUUCAAUGUUCAUGUGUACAAAGACAACACUGGUGUGCUCAAGAGGAGACGGGUGAUGGCAUCUGACCGCAUGUGGUUCUACCCUCCAGAACCUCCGGCCUAUGUCGGAGGGGUUCUGCCAGGCCCACAGCUUUUUUUCCGAAGCCGUCUGUUUGUGUGGCGUCCAGUUGGGGUUUGGAGGUGCUCCCUGAAGUGUCCACGAGGUGACAAGUGUGUGGGGGCAGGAAAGGACGUGCACCUCUACAAGUCUGGCUAUCACCACCAUGUCUGACUUACCUUGUCUCAAAUGUUUACUUUAUUGGUGAUCUUGUACUUCAUUUAUUUACUCAAAUAGAGUGCUGUGUAACUAGCAUCUGUCUGAGCUCAGGAAAAGGAGCAGUUGAUGUGAUUUUAUGCCUUUAUUUGAUCUGCUUGUUUUGUUUACAGCCUCGUCACAUCUGCGACGGGUCCAGCUGGUACACAAUGCUGACUGAGGUUUUGUGCUGUGGCCCAUGUACCAAGGCAGGCAGGAACCAUGAGGGCAUUACGGUCGGACGGUGGCUUGCAUGGAUGCUGCUAUUCUGGCACAGCUGAGCGAAGCCCUUCAAGCCAUGUUUCCUUCUGUUCUCACUAGCAAACGUGGCGUGGACAAAAACGUUGUGCGUCUUCUGCGUGACAGGACUGAAGGGAACACAAUGAUCAAAGUGUGGCGGCAGAUCCAGGAAAAUCAUCACGAAGAGUACCUUCACCGCAAGGAUCUGUACACCACGCUGCUCAUGACUGUGGCAGAACCCGGAGGAAUUGUUUCUGCAUUGAGGCACAGGUUCCAGGCUCCACCUCCUCCAAGAGAGCUGCCUUCUGCCCCACUUUUGCGCCACGCCUUUCUUCUAGCUGAGGCCAAUAAUGUCCAGGACUACCGGAACCAGAUCCUUUCCACUUUUGGCACAGUGUUAAAAAUGGAUUCCACCAAGAAAGUGGUGAAGAAACUGUCUGGAGAGGGCCAUGGCUCAGCUCAGUGGUUCACCAGUAUUGCCAAUGAAUUCUCCCAAAUAGUGACCUUUGUGUUGACCUGUGAGGAGUCCACAGUGAAGCUGGCACCAAUGUGCAGUGGAGUCAUACAAAGGUUCAGACUGGCUAAUCAACCGGUCCCCAAAAUUUUGUAUGUGGACCAUGGGUGUUGUCGUGCACAAGGUCCAACAGCUGUUGAGACUCUGUUUGAGGCUUGGGUGAACAGGGGAAUGGUUGUGCGUUUAGACAUCUUCCACUGGAUUCACCGAUUUGACGCAGCCAUUCGAACAGACAGUCACUCUAAGUACGCUGCCUUUAAGUCUGCGCUGGCUGGCGCUGUCCUGGCCUACAACUGCACUGACCUGGACCUACUCAUCAAGGCUGUCAGGGCCAAGAACAACAGGUUGAAGACUCUGUCUGAUGAGGACAUUGUCCGAGACCACAUUUCUAGGGACCACCUCAACUACCAUGUGCGAAGGGUCACGCUCGGGGCGCAGGAAACAUUCCGGCUCAUCCACAUGGCGAUUGAAGAGUUAAAGGGUUCGGCUGAGCUGGAUGAAAGCGGGAUGCCAUUGAUGACAUGUGGGCAAGCCAGCAGCGACACUUGGAGUGCAUCCAGGAUCCACCACACAUGAUCAUGUACAGGGUGGCGCGUAUUACGACCAUCAACAAAGUGGAUGUGCCGUACUACAAAUGUCUGCGUGGAAGCAAUAGCCUGGAGGGAUUCCACAAGAUGUUGCCUAAUAUGAUUCCAGGUCCCCACUGUGCUGCACGGCCUAAUCAGGUUUACCUGAUAAGUGGCAUUGCACGGUGGAACGCUGACAGGAGCUCAGAUGCUGUGUUUGGGGGCAAAGGACGGAGGCACCGGACGUAUUCAGCGCCGCUGAUUGAUCGUCCCAACAGGCGCUGUGAGCAGCUGUUUGGAACGACCGAGGAGGGGAAUUAUCGGGCCCCAGUUAAUGUGGCGUCUAACGAGCUGCUUGGGUUGGAGUACCUGUUCAGCCAGAGCACAGGAGGACCACGGCCAUUUUCCCUGCAGGACAUGGUUCAUGAUGGACCUGGUCCAGAGGAGGAGGUCGUCCAGCCGGGUCACCAAGAUA